GCUAGAACGACCACACAAACGGCAGCAACUUUCCCUCUGCUUCAUUCUUUUCUCCUGAUCAACAGGCUUAUUAUCUGAUUACCAGCUCUGCACAGCGGACUUGUAACACUAGCAGCAGUGGAGAUGGAGCAUCAGAACCUGGAGGCUUCUACUCUCCUGAAGAAGAAGAAUACAGCAACAAGGAUCCAUUUGAAGAUAGAUUUCACAGCUGCCUGGGCCUAGCAGCAAGAACCUCCAUCUGUCCCUGCCCCCAGGUCAAGAUCUACCGUGGCUCAAGGGCCUUCACCGCAAAGGACCAGAGGACCAUCAUCACUACAGUGGCCUCCAUCUCCAUCUGCCACAAGAUUAAGAUACACCUCGGGACAAAGGCCUCCACCACAGCCAUCACGAUCAACCCAGCCAGCAAAGAAGUCUCGCCUAGCACCGCCUCGGUGAGACUCCAGAAAGCAUGGAGCAAGAGACAAUUUUCCUUUUGGCAGAACAACAGAAAAGAAACAACCGGCAAUCAAUAAAAGAAAAUAUGGCGAAGGCGUUUGGAUACUGAAGACAAGAAAUAGUGCAUCGGAGGCCAAGCAUUGAAGGCCUCUUGGAGCGGAGGCCUGCACUUUUUCACAUGGAAGAGGUAAAUGCUGAGUUAAUGCGCAUAACAACAAUUCCAUUGGAGACAAAGUUCUUGGCGCAGUUGGACAAACACUCAGGUCAUCAGGAGCAGGGGAGGAGUUGUGAAACAGAAGACCACCGGGAUCUUGCAGGUUUUGGAUGAGACUGUGGACAUCGCCAUCAGAAGAGAAUGCAUCCUCAAAUCUCUAAUGAUCUACCUGGGUGAACCUGUUGACCAUCUCAUCAAAGAAUUCCAGGACGCUGAGGCUGGAGAACUGGAGCAGGCAACAAUGGAAGCCUUUGACACUGGGAAAGAGGAUCAGCUUCAUCGACCCAAAGACGUCAAGGUUCUCAUCGAAGGAACAGAGGUCCUCAGCGGCUUGCCCUCGGUUGCGACAGCUUUUGCCAUGCUCUUCGGGCUCAUAUACGCACUGAAAUGGGGCGAAGCCUGCGAGCUAGUUCAGGCAGUCAACUCGAGCACUUAUGCUGCAUUCAUACAUAACGCCCCCUUGCCACUCCACAACCAAC